rnacentral:rRNA from 1 species
AGUGAACGCUGGCGGCGUGCUUAACACAUGCAAGUCGAACGAGAACGGGUCUUAGCUUGCUAAGAUUGUCAGCUAAGUGGCGCACGGGUGAGUAAUAUAUAGUUAACCUGCCCUAGAGAGAGGGAUAACGUUUGGAAACGAUGGCUAAUACCGCAUAAUGCCUACGGGCCAAAGAGGGGGACCUUCGGGCCUCUCGCGUCAAGGUAUGCCUAGGUGGGAUUAGCUAGUUGGUGAGGUAAUGGCUCACCAAGGCGACGAUCCCUAGCUGGUCUGAGAGGAUGAUCAGCCACACUGGAACUGAGACACGGUCCAG